AGAGUUUGAUGGUGGCUCAGGAUGAACGCUGGCGGCGUGCUUAACACAUGCAAGUCGAACGGGAAACAUUUAUUGAAGCUUCGGCAGAUUUAGCUUGUUUCUAGUGGCGGACGGGUGAGUAACGCGUGGGUAACCUGCCUUAUACUGGGGGAUAACAGCCAGAAAUGACUGCUAAUACCGCAUAAGCGCACAGAACCGCAUGGUUCGGUGUGAAAAACUCCGGUGGUAUAAGAUGGACCCGCGUUGGAUUAGCUAGUUGGCAGGGCAGCGGCCUACCAAGGCGACGAUCCAUAGCCGGCCUGAGAGGGUGAACGGCCACAUUGGGACUGAGACACGGCCCAGACUCCUACGGGAGGCAGCAGUGGGGAAUAUUGCACAAUGGGGGAAACCCUGAUGCAGCGACGCCGCGUGAAGGAAGAAGUAUCUCGGUAUGUAAACUUCUAUCAGCAGGGAAGAUAAUGACGGUACCUGACUAAGAAGCCCCGGCUAACUACGUGCCAGCAGCCGCGGUAAUACGUAGGGGGCAAGCGUUAUCCGGAUUUACUGGGUGUAAAGGGAGCGUAGACGGCGCAGCAAGUCUGAUGUGAAAGGCAGGGGCUUAACCCCUGGACUGCAUUGGAAACUGCUGUGCUUGAGUGCCGGAGGGGUAAGCGGAAUUCCUAGUGUAGCGGUGAAAUGCGUAGAUAUUAGGAGGAACACCAGUGGCGAAGGCGGCUUACUGGACGGUAACUGACGUUGAGGCUCGAAAGCGUGGGGAGCAAACAGGAUUAGAUAGCCCUGGUAGUCCACGCCGUAAACGAUGAAUAUCUAGGUGUCAGGGAGCACAGCUCUUUGGUGCCGCCGCAAACGCAUUAAGUAU
rnacentral:rRNA from 1 species